AUUCAGCUGACGAGUCCCAAAUAGGACGAAAUGCUCGUCAAACAGGAU
rnacentral:hammerhead_ribozyme from 1 species